CCCUUAGAUGCUCUGGGCCGCACGCGCGCUACACUGAUUCAUGCAACGAGUUUUGUCCUUGGCUGAAAGGCCUGGGUAAUCUUUGAACGUGAAUCGUGCUGGGGAUAGAUGAUUGCAAUUAUUCAUCUUCAACGAGGAAUUCCUAGUAAACGCAAGUCAUCAGCUUGCAUUGAUUACGUCCCUGCCCUUUGUACACACCGCCCGUCGCACCUACCGAUUGAAUGGUCCGGUGAAAUCUUCGGAUCUGAGAGAUGUUGGAUUAAUUUCUGACGCCUUUUGGAAAAGUUGCUUAAACCUUAUCAUUUAGAGGAAGGUGAAGUCGUAACA
rnacentral:rRNA from 1 species